rnacentral:tRNA from 2 species
GCCUCUGUGGUGAAACUGGUUAGACACAAGGGACUUAAAAUCCCUCGGAUUUAUCCAUGUAGGUUCAACUCCUAUCAGAGGUA